UAUCUCUGUAGAGUCUGCAUAUCAAUAAGCGGAGGAAAAGAAACUAACUAGGAUUCCCUCAGUAACGGCGAGUGAAGCGGGAAGAGCUCAAAUUUGAAAUCUUCAAGGUUUUACCUUGACGAAUUGUAGUUUAAAGAAGUGUUUUCUGUUGGAGUUUUGGUAAAAGUUCUUUGGAAUAGGACAUCAUAGAGGGUGAGAAUCCCGUAUUUGACCAUUAUUUCCAGCUUUGUGAUACACUUUCAAAGAGUCGGAUUGUUUGGGAAUGCAGUCCAAAAUGGGUGGUAAAUUUCAUCUAAAGCUAAAUAUUGGCGAGAGACCGAUAGCGAACAAGUACCGUGAGGGAAAGAUGAAAAGAACUUUGAAAAGAGAGUUAAACAGUACGUGAAAUUGUCAAAAGGGAAGCGUUUGACACCAGUGUUGUUUCUACGAAAAUCAAUUUAUGAUGGCUUGAUGCUAAGCUUUAAGACUUUAUCCGCUUGUUGUUUAGUUUUCUUGUCUUUGUGAAUGCACUUUUCGUGGAACAAGUCAACAUCAAUUUCUUUUGCUGUAAAAGGGUAAGAGGAAGGUGGCUUCGGCUUCGGUUGAAGUGUUUAUAGCCUUUUAUCUCUGCAGUCGGAGAGAUUGAGGUCUGCAGCGUAGAUCCUUCGGGGUUAGAUACAGUUGGUGCUAAGUUAUAGCCUUUCAUAGACAACUUGUUGACUAUGAUCAGUCAUGUAGCUUACUCGCUUAUGCUAUUUUACCUACGCUUAGGAUGUUG
rnacentral:rRNA from 1 species